ACCACCACCUGCAGUGUGUGUUCUCCCUGCACGCGAACAGGUCCACCUGAGCCGUCCCGAACCUCUGCCAGAUCAGUCUGACAAUGUCGGGAUGUAACCGCCACUCGUCUCGGCGGGGACCGCCGCGAGACAUGAGGUCCGCCCCGAAGUUCUGGGCGCCUGCGAUAUGCAGGGCUCUCAGACUGAGGAGAAAUACUCGGUCCACGGAGGAUUACUCUUGCAUUGCAUGGAUGGAUGCAUGUUUGUGCUUGGCCUCAGGUUCAGACUCUCCAUUUGGUGUGUUUCCUUGUACCAUUUCAGGUAAGAAUGGCUGUUUAUUUUUCCUUUACAGGUUGAUUCGAUACAUGGCUAGACUUCUCAUUCAGAGAUUUUUGCAUGGAAACGAUUUCAGGUGAGUUAGGAACUUUAGCCGGUUCAUCAGGUAAGUCAUUUUUACAAGAGAGGAUAUCCUGAUAUUCCAGUCGUUCCGAACCAGAUGGAUUUACACAUGGCUCUCCUUCAGAUUUUUCAUAUUUCUCUCUGUGAGUGUCUGUGUUCUUUAUUGGGUUGUCAAUGAUUUUGAUGAAACGGGUCUCUUUUAUUCCAUGUGAUGGCUCAAAGUGAUAACAGAUAUCUUCGUCAUCCUCUUGAGCUGUUAUCCUCUGGUUGAUCUGGGCUUUUCGAGGUUUACUAAUGCGCUCUGGUUCCUCCUCUUCUGCGAGAGAAAACCACAAGGGAGAAAGAGAUCCCUAUGGAGUGUUUGCAGUGGUCCACCCUCUUUCUCUGGUCUCACUGUGUAUACACUGUGUAGGCAUUUCUCCCAUUCGUUUGGUGACUAUAUAUAUAUUGUCGACUCCCGGUUUGUGUUUCUUCUGAGACGAAGAUUGUGGGCUAGGACUCGGUCUCCAACAUCCAAGGUAGACUCACGAAUGACUUUGUCAAACCUCUUCGUGUUUUUGUCAGCCACUUUGCAAGAGUUAUUGAUGGCUACUUGGUAGCUCUCCUCAAGAUGGCUUCUCAACUUUUUCACAUGCUGUGAAUGUGAGAGGGGCUGUUUGUCGCUGACUGGUAGUCCAAAAGCAAUAUCAAUCGGCAGCAGGGUUGCACCCAAACAUAAGUUCAUAUGGGGGGAAGCCUGUGUCGUCAUUUCUGGUACAGUUGUAAGCCUGAGUAAGCGGCUUAACGAAGUCACACCAGCGGGUUUUCUCUGUGUCCUUCAAUGUUGGUACAUUCUAGGGCUGGGCGAUAUGGCCUAAAAUAAAAAUCCCCGAUUUUUUCAUAAAAAAUCCGAUUUCCGAUUUAAAUCGAUUUACAUAAAAAAGCAUUAUGGCAGGCCCUGCCAUUGUAAACAGUGUAACCUGUAACAUAACAUAAAAUGUAAAAUAUAUAAAAUAUAAAAUAAAAUAUUUCUGUAAACAUAAAAUAUUUCUAAUGAUAAGAGGACUUCUGAUAAAGUGCCAACAUAACAUUCAAACUUUCAACACUGGUCAUAAAUAUACAGUGUUUUGCAAACGGUAAUAAUUACCUUAAGAAAGGGAAUAGUAACGGGAGAAGAAUGAGGAAAAACACACACGCACGCAGCUCUUUCCUUCACUUGUCUGUAUUGAAUGAGGAAGAGGAGUGCGAUCCCCCUACUGGAGCCCCGAUGCAUUACCAAAAGAUCGACGAAUUACCAACAGAUCGACGAAUUAUUAAACCACACAGAUAUAUUUCAAAUGAAUUAUGUUUACCUCAAAAUAGAUUAUACAUACAUGAAUAAAUGGUGGUAUACAACUUGUCAAACUCGCUGCCAUGUUUGUGUAUCACUUUGGUAAAUGCGCGCUCUGUGCGGGGGGAGGGCUGAGCCCAUUCCAAACUACGGGAGCUGAGAGGGAAGCGUUUGCGGAUGUUGAAGAGAAAACCGAUUUUAUUUUGAACAAGUCGACGUGAGCUACACACUCGAAUUAAUCGAUAAAAUCGGUUUAUCGCCCAGCCCUAGUACAUUCCUCUUCAUACUCAGUAAAGUCUUGUUGUAGCGCUUUACAGGAUUACCUCUGAGGUGAUACGGGCUGGUUCUCACUUUGCGUAUACCUAGCAGGGGGCACAGUUCUCGGAUGGUAUGUGAUUCGAAAUCUCUUCCCUGGUCACUAUGGAGUCGCUCUGGAAAACCAUAAUGGACUAAGAAGUGUUCCAACAUACUCUUCGCCACAGUACUGGCCUUUUGAUCUCUUGUAGGGAUGGCCAUGGCGUACUUGGUGAAGUGAUCUGUGACCACUAAGAUGUAUUUUUUGUUCUUGCUAUCAGGCUCUAUUGAGAGGAAGUCCAUGCAGACGACCUCCAGCGGCCUGGUGGUAUUGAUGUUUACAAGUGGGGCUGCCUUGUCAGGAGGGGCUUUUCUGCAGACACAUCUCUCACAAGUCUUCACUUUCUUCUCAAUCUCUUAAGCCAUUUUGGGCCAAUAGAAGCAAGAUCUGGUAAGUUCAACUGUUCGCUUGAUUCCUAGAUGGCCCAUAUUAUCAUGUUAUGUAUUAUCAGGUUUUGCAACACAGUGGAUCUGAGGGCCUCAGGGAGAACGAACUGCAUCAGAAUCUCUGUUCCAGACAGGCGCUUUCGGUAAGGAAGAUCCUCUUGUAGCUCAAUCAUCUUGUAGACCGUCCUCCUGCAUCGAGAUUGUGUUUUCCGGCGCUAUAUUUGAUGUUGAAGUUGAAUGUGGACAAUGCUGCCAGCCAGCGGUAGCUAGCGGCAUCUAGCUUCGCUGUGGUGAGAAGAGCAGCUCCAAGAAAGAUGGUGCUUACAUCUGUAUGAAGGAAGUACUGCAGUUUUGGAUCAGCAUAGCCUAGCACAGGUGAAGAGGUAAGUUUUUCUCCAACGUUCUCCAAGCGGUUCCUUGGGGUUUAGGUAUUUACCGUCACCCGGACUCGAUUUACAGCCUUUCCGACGAGGUGGGUAGCCUGGGGCUUAUUUCUCCUCACCAGAUUGACCUGGACUCAAAAUUCUUUCAUAACAUUAAUCUCUAGAAUCAGAUGCAUCUAUAAAACCUGGGUCUUAUGCCCUAAAUUUUUUUUACUUUUCCCACAAUUUCAUAUUAAAGCCAAACAUGAUAAAAAGAUUCACAGACUACAAAAAGAAUAAAAAAUUCACCAAAAUCUAAAUUCUUUAGACCAAGCCUCACAAAAACCAUCAAACAGAAUUUGUUUUAUUUAGUUCCAUUUGAGAAAUAUAGGCCAAUGAAGUUGGAGCAGUUAGCUCAUUUUUCUUGUAUGGACAUUUUGUUAUAGUAUAAAAAAAACAUACGACUAUUAUUAGGUGGAUACCAACUACCCAUAAACCCAAAUUGUGGUACUGCACCCAAAGGUGGCGCUAUUUUUUAAAAAUAUGAACUAGCCUUAUUUCUCCUUUACCAGAAAGAUAGAUGAUCUGAUACCAGAGAGAAAGGAUAAGGGUUACUAGAAUCCGGGUUGGAGUCCCAGAGAAAGUAACCUACAUUUUUUGUAACCUACAAUAAAUAAAGCAGGCUUCCAGUCAAUGGAAAAAUGGCUUCUCCCCACCGGCGAUUGUUGUUGUUUACGAUUUUCUAUCAGUUCUCACCACACAACGACGUCUCAUCUUUGCUCCUUGAAUGUCGAUAUGUAAUGGUAUGGAGUUAUUGAAA